CCAUGCUAGACGGGGAGUUAGCGAUACCCUGUAGCCCGCAAUUCGCUAUAGCGGGGUCGAAUUCCCAUCGGAGGUAAAAUCGGGUGAGGUCAGCAUAUUUAUGCGGAGCGUUGAGAAUCGGGUCUUGUACAAUAGAAGCCUGAGAACCUGGUCAGGACGGGAACGUAGCAGCCAUAAUCAGUGUCUUCUAUGUGUUACAAGGGUGCCUGAUUUGAGCUCUCGCAUAAAUAAUAGCGCUUGUUCGGUUUUAUCGAUGAUGGGUGCAUGG
rnacentral:SRP_RNA from 1 species